UGGGUAUGUUGGUUUUCAGUGCUGGGCAGUAGCGAAGCGACUAGUUUAAUUACAUUCCCUAGUAGCUUGGUCGUAGCGUCAUUACUAUGUAUCGACUAACGUCCCUGUAGUUAGGAAAUAAAUAGUUUGGAAAUCAAUGUGAAAUACCCUGGCAUUUGCAACAGUAGGCAACCUGUCCUUAAAAAGUAUGGGUCCUCAAAACAGCACUUGUUGCACAAAUAAGUGUUGCAUAGAGCAGUGUUUCCCAACCAGGGGUACGUGUACCACUAGGGGUACGCGAGCACCCUGCAUGUAUGGAGCAUAGUCACAUUGGGAUAUAAAGCAUGAGUCAGGGGGUACUUGUGGUAUGAGAAAAGGCUUAGGGGGUACUUAAGACAAAAAAAGGUUGGGAAACACUGGCAUAGAGCACGCCACCCCGAAAUCAAUGUGAAAUACCCUGGCAUUUGCAACAGUAGGCAGCAUGUCCUUAAAACGUAUGGGUCCUCAAAACAGCACUUGUUGCACAAAUAAGUGUAGCUGGCCUCUUCAAGAAAUUGAAAUUAUGCAUGGUCACUUUUUCUUAUUGUUUCACGUGGAGGUCUACUGACAUUGUCUAAAUAAUGUAGGCUAGUUUAUGUCCAUGCAUUAUAUUAGGACCCAAGGUUAAUGGGUUAUUCUGUUUACCAUGUUUUCACAGGCUGCUGUCUCAUAAUAUGGCGAAGACGAGUCACUUGAAGGCCUAACAGCUCUUAUGAGGAGCAGUCUUGCCAUAGAAGACUGAAAGAAUGAGCUGUAGAAACAACAGGGUGCCUGCUGCAGUAUGACGAGGACGCCCUGAUCAUAGAAGGUCCAGUGUCUUGGCAGGGUGAAAUGGCACUGAUAUCGUGUCCUGCAGGAUGCUGUGUCCUGCAAUCCUGUGUGCUGUGCUACAGACGCGUGUGGAGGUCAACCCGAAAUGGGCACAGUAGAGUGAAAGAGGGUAAGCUUAACCUAUAGCCUACGUCAGGGUUGGGGAACCUUUCUCAUUCGAAUGGCCACUUCAAAUUCAUCCGAGGGGCCAUAAAAGUCCUCCAAGGGCCGUACUAUGAACACAAACCAGGAUUUUCCCUUUCACUUUAGGCCUAUAUUGAAGGCAGCCACAUUUAAACAAACGCCAACUUCUUCAGGUUCCCUGAAUAUAACUUAAUUGUAUUGCUAAUGUAUUUUCUAAGAUUCCUUUACAAAAUAUGUCAUAUUUCAUGUGAAGAUGGAAUUGCAUUAAAAUUAUAUCGGGGGCCGGAUAAAACAGCCUCAAGGGUCGCAAACGGCCCUAGAGACAUAGGUUCCCCACCCCUGUCCUACAUUGUCAAUAUGACUUGUGCUACUUUAUAGAUAAGUUGUCAAUGCUGUGCAUUGCUAUGUUUUGAUUUAUUUUCUUACAUCCUACAGAUCCUGGCAGGGAGACGGUAGUGUCCUGCAGGAUGGUGAUGGGCAAUCUUACAAGAGACCACAGAAAACUGAUAUAGUGUAAGAUUAUCCCUGUUGGGCUCAAUAUGUCUUGCUUAUUGAUAUAUUUGCUAUGUCAAUAUGAGGUGCAUGACGAAGUAUUUAUUUAUUUGUUGUUUCUACAGCUCCCAGAAGUGAGACUGAGUGCCUGUUGCAGUAUGACGAGGAAGCAGUGACCAGAGACCUUCAGUAGACCCUGCUGGCAUGAUUGGCGGCUGAAGAACAUAAUCAACAGCAAUGUUUAUAAUAUUGUACAUACCUGUAUAGUCUGCACUAAAAUGCUGUACCUGUACUAUUUUUCCUCUUACUUUCAUAUUUACCACGUAUUUACUAUGAAUUGACAACUUUUACUCAAAUCCAUUUUUGUAUGUGCCCUGACUAAAACUAUCCUUAAACCUAACCUGUCAGAGGUGUAAUAACAACCUGCUCUUAGCAAUGUGGCAGCAGUCUACUUGGAUGCAGCGGGGAACAUAGAACCCUUUUUUUGAAAAAGCAUUGUAUGUUUCUGAGUUUUAUGAAUUGUGCCCUUCCCAAACCUAACCUGUCGUAGGGGCCUAUGAAA